GUGCUCACUUUGGCAGCACAUACACUAAAAUUAGAAUGAUAAGAGAAGAUGAUUAGCAUGGCCUCUGCUCAAGAAUGACACACAAAUUCAUGAAGCAUUACACAUUUUU
ensembl:snRNA U6 U6 spliceosomal RNA